GCCGGCGUAGCUCAGUUGGUAGAGCACUUCAUUCGUAAUGAAGGGGUCCCCGGUUCAAGUCCGGGCGUCGGCU
rnacentral:tRNA from 2 species